GGAAAGCGCAUUUGUAACGCGGGCGACGAUGUGCCCGAAAUCCCCGGACGGUGGGUCUGCAUCGAGACGCCGAGCUCUGGAGCUGGAAAAACCCGGCUGAGGCUUUACAGUUCUCUAUACUCUCCCAAGAUCCACAGAAAAUGAACACAUUUCAGGGUACUGCUUUACAAAACCAGAACUGAUCUUCACAUUGGAACAAGGAGAAGAUCCAUGGUUAUUAGAGAAAGAGAAAGGAUUUCUAAGCAGGAACUCCCCAGAAGACUCCCAACCUGAUGAAAUCUCAGAGAAGAGCCCAGAAAAUCAAGGCAAACAUUGGUGGCAAGUUUUAUUCACCAAUAAAUUAUUGACUACAGAGCAAGAAAUUUCAGGAAAACCACAGAAUCGAGACAUAAACAUUUUUCCUGCAAGAAUGAUGCCUUGUAAAUGUGACACUGUGGGGUCUGCUUGCCAGGGUCUCAGCCUGAUGGCCCCACACUGUCAGUAUUCAAAAGAAAAGGCUCAUGAGCAUAAUGUUUGUGACAAAUGGCUCAUCAGUAUUAAGGAUGGCAGAACUAACACUCAAGAGAAAUCUUUGGCUUAUAGUAAAAUUGUGAAAACCCUCCAUCAUAAGGGGGAAGUUAUUCAACAU
rnacentral:sRNA from 1 species